AGGUGAGUGAUUUUGAGAGUUUUAUGAAUAUUUCAACUUGAGAGUGAGGUUGAAAGAGAGUUUUGAAAAAUAUUUUCUUACUUUUUGGGGGAGGUCAUUUUCCGUAGAUUUGAGGUAAAUAAGUUAAUUUGAAAAACAUUUAAGUCAACCAAACAUGAGAAAAUUAGAAAAUAUUUUGUGGAAAAUUUUUUCCCUGUACCAAACAUACUCUUAAUGUAAAAUGAGAUAUAUGCGAGAGAGAUUUUGAUAAUUUGUGUUUAAGAAGUAAUUUGUGUUGAGGGGUCACAUGAUUAUUAGAUAUGGUGGUCUUGGGAUGUGUCAGCUGCUCGCUAAAUUGGUUGCUCAAAGUUGGAGCAACCUGUUUCUUUAAGAGGAACAUCUAAGCAAGUUAUGCAAGGCAAAGCUCACUGAAUUCUACAUCAACGCCAAAGAGACUUCCACAUUUAUUACUAAAAUUAUUAAGGGGUUGUAAUUGAGAUUGUUCCAUCAUUAAUCACUCAAGUUCUUAUUGUUACUAAUGCUAGGUGACAUAUUUUUAUGUACGAAAUGAAUGGCCACCAUUGGAUGGAAUACCCUCUUCCCUGGAUAUCUCUCGAAAG
rnacentral:lncRNA from 1 species